GCUCGCUUAGCUCAGUUGGUCAGAGCGUGGUGCUAAUAUCAGCAACGCCAAGGUCACAGGUUCGAUCCCUGUAGUGAGCA